UGGAGGAGCAGGAAACACGGAGAUCAGAACUGGAGAGCAGACUGAGAUCUAGAGGAAAACAACUGGAGGACCAGAAGACAACAAUCACAGAACUGGAGACCAGACUGGGAUCUACUGAGGGACAACUGGACCAGUUAA